CCGAAAUUUAGCUGUCCGGGCCGCGAGGCUCCAGACGCUUUCAACCCAGUGUGAACUCAGAAAACCUUUCGCUUCGGCAGCUGAGGCGGUCGCAUCCUGCCUGCCUCGUGAGCCUGCCGCUGGCACCAAAAUCUCAAAACUUUGCAAGCCCAACAUUGUCUGAUAACCAAAAAUUUUCGAAUGAAAAUCA
rnacentral:misc_RNA from 1 species